rnacentral:ncRNA from 1 species
ACCUCUUGUAUAAUGGGUCAUCGACUUAGUCUGUCUAGCAAGCUUAAGCCGUUAGGUGUAGGCGCAGCGAAAGCGAGUCUGAAUAGGGCGUUAAGUUAGACGGAUUAGACCCGAAACCGAGUGAUCUAGGUAUGAGCAGGCUGAAGGUAAGGUAACACUUACUGGAGGGCCGAACCCACGUCUGUUGAAAAAGACGGGGAUGACUUGUUCCUAGGGGUGAAAGGCCAAUCAA